CAAACUGGGAUUAGAUACCCCACUAUGCCUGGCCCUAAAUCUUGAUGCUCGAUAUUACCUGAGCGUCCGCCUGAGAACUACGAGCACAAACGCUUAAAACUCUAAGGACUUGGCGGUGCUCCAAACCCACCUAGAGGAGCCUGUUCU
rnacentral:rRNA from 1 species